CGCUCUGCAGCCUCAGGAGUGCCCACCUGACCAGGCGGUUGGGUCUCUCUCUCACCGGGUCUGGGAGCAGAGAGCUGCUGCGGGCCGAGAUCCGCGGUUGUGGGACUUCCGGUAAACACAGAACGUGCCCGGUUCUAGAGAAAUUCUGCUUCCGUGUGUCCCAAGCUCACCAGGCAGCUUUCUUGCAGCAGAAAAUUUGGUCUUACCUGUGGUCCCGAGGCUCAAGUUCGCUCGUGGGGUGCUGCCCAGGGGCUCUCUGCAGCGGCAGCAACCAGGAAGACCUGUGCCGCCCCUUCCGGGAGCUUCAGUGCACCAGGGUUCCAGAUGGUCUUUGGCUUUUUCCUCUGGCGUCCGAGAUGUGUGUGCAGGGAGCAGUCUCUUCUGGUUUCCCAGGCUUGUCUGCCUCUCUGAAGGUUUAGCUCUCCCUCCCACGGGAUUUGGGUGCAGAGAACUGUUUAUCCGGUCUGUUUCCUUCAGGGUCCGGCGGUGUCUCUGGCCAAGAUGAGGUCUUCUUUACCACCGAGGAAAGACAGAAUCCUACUAGAGGCCAGAAAGAAUGUUCCAGACAUAGAUGGAAGACCCUCACUCCUGACUGUUGCUCCAGGUCUACCACCAGGCUCCAAGGGUGGGUCUCUGAGGGGCUAGAAAAUGCCCCACCAAUCUGGCUAAGGUAAGAAAAAGAUAUAAAGAGAAAGUUACAGAAAUUUGAAGGGUUAAGCUAAGUUGCUGAGAGUUAGUGUAAGUUGCAGAGAAAGUAAAGUUGAAGUGUGGUUACAUAAGUGGACAGCAUCUAAUAGCUGUAGAGGAAGAUGCAGAAGAUAUGAGAGAGACUGAGGAAGAGAAAGAGGAAAGAAGGUAAAAAGCAGGAAGCUAGGGAAGAAAAGAGACAAAAAGAAGAAGAAGCUAGAGAGCUAAAGAGGGAUAAAAGACAGGAGAGGAACAUAUACUGGCCACAGUAGUUAGAGAACCUAGGAAGACAGUACCUGGCAACAGAAGAGAAUUCCUGGCUAAAGAUCAGUGUGCCUAUUGCAAGGAAAAAGGACACUAGGUCAGGGACUGCCCCAGGAAGAACAAGAGGGGCCUCUCCAGCAGCCCCGAAGGCAAGCCUCUUGGUCGUAGACUGCUGGCUAUGCGCAAAGAUAGAAGGGAAGCCUGCCCAGUUGUUUUGUGAAUACAGGGACCCAACACUCUGUGCUCCUACACCCAAAUGGGCUAGUGUCCAGCAAAAGACCUUGAGUACAGGGGACUACCGGCAACAAAUGUUACUCAUGGACUACCCGAAGAAUGGUGGACCUUGGCAUGGGCCAGGUAUCCCACUUGUUCCUUGUGAUCCCAGACUGCCCCUACGAGUCUGAACCCUGCAACCCUGCUCCCGGACCCCAACCUAGACCCCCCUUCAUGACUGUCAGCAGGUGCUCACUAAAGCACAGGGGUGGCAUAAAGAUCUGACUGACCAGCCACCAGAGGGGAUAGAUGCCAUCUGGUUCAUAGAUGGGAGCAGCUUCUUAGAGAAGGAAAAAGAUGGGCUGGGGCAACAGUGGUACAUAAAAACAGAGUCAUAUGGGCUCAGGCCCUACCAGAAGGCACCUCUACUCAGAGGGUAGAGCUCACUCCCCUCACCAAAGCCCUUGAGCCGAGAAGGAGACUUAACAUCUAUGUGGACAGCAGGUAUACCUUUGCUACAGCCCAUCAGCAGAGGGACCUUCUGACAUCUGAGGGCAAGAAAAAAAGAGAUUCUGGCUCUGUUAAGGGCCCGCCAUGACCCAGCCAGGCCGAAAAACAGACUCUGGUACACCUCAAUGGGAAAGAAGAUCCUGCUACAAAAACAGGCAGAGGCCACGAUAAAACAAAUGCAUCAAUGGACUCACUUAGGGGUAAGCAAACUCAUCCAGACGUUUUCAAAAACUAAAUAUUAUGUCGCAGGUCUCAAGUAUCUCGUGGAACAGAUAGUGCACUGAUGUAUACCAUGCCAAAAGGUAACUGUUUUCAGGAAAGUUGACUCUGGUAGGAGGCUCUGUGGGGAACAGCCUGGAUCCUACUGAGAGGUGGACUUCACAGAGAUAAAACCAGGAAAAUAUGAUUUUAAAUGUCUCCUAGUGUUUAUAGAUAUCUUUUCAGGAAUAGGUAGAAGCUUUCCCCACCAAGCAAGAGACGGCCUCAAUAGUCAUCAAGAAGAUACUAGAAGAAAUCUUCUCCCUGUUUGGAGUGCCCAAGGUAAUUGGGUCAGACAAUGGCCCUGCCUUCAUUGUCAAGGUAAGCCAGGGUGUGGCCAGGUAUUUAGAGGUCAAUUAAAAAUUAUAUUACAUCUAAAGACCUCAAAGUUCAGGACAGAUAGAGAGAAUAAAUAAAAUUUUAAAAGAGACCCUGACCAAAUUGACCAUGGAGACUGGCGCAAACUGGGUGGCACUCCUUCCCUCUUGCUCUCUUCAGAGCAAGAAAUGCCCCUUCCAGAUUCAGCCUUACCCACAUCCCCGAAGAGACUACAGAGUUCAGGGCAGGUAAAAAAGAUAACUAGAACUCUAAAAGAGACCUUGACAAAAUUGGCCUUAGAGACCGGCGGGGGAGACUGGACUGUCCUCCUUCCUUUUGCUCUGUUCCGAGUACGGAACACUCCUGACCCUUUUGGCCUAACACCUUAUGAGAUUAUGUAUGGGAGCCCCCCCACUCCUUGAAUCGGGUGGGGGCCCCCUACCCUGAGGUUUUUCCUAAAACCCUGUUUGCUCAUUUAAAGGCUUUAGAAACAGUCCAAAGUGGAAUUUGGAGCCAAGUGAAGGACACCUACAAGAUGGGAAGUCCAGGGCGCCUCACCAGUUCCCAGCAGGAGAUGCAGUCCUGGUCCGGCGACACAAGGCUGAGAAUUUAGAACCCCACCAGAAAGGACACUAUCUAGUACUGUUAAUCACUCCUGUUGUUGUAAAGGUAGAUGGGAUUGCUGCAUGGGUCCACGCCUCCCAUUUGAAGACAGUACUAGAUGUUCUCAGAAAUGAAUGGAAAUUAGAAAAGACUGCUAAUCCUCUUAAGCUUCGUCUCUGUUGUAAGCACUUAUAAUCCCCAUAUCCCCCAGAAACUGAUUUGGCAAGGUUCCUCCCAGGCCGGGGAGGUAAUAUGGUCCAUCUCCAAGGUGAGCCCAACAUACACAUGGUGGCCCACUCUCACCCCUGACUUUUGUAAGUUGGUAGCUGGGCUGGACACCUGAGACAUUCCUGACAGAUCCUCAGAGUAUGCCCCUAGAAGUCCCAAAGAGAUUUUCACCUGGGGGCAAGUUUGGAUGGGGAAGUCCAGAAACAAGGUGCCAAUUGGGGAGACUGAGGUUUUACAUUUGCCCCCAAGAUGUCUGAGACCAGGCUACCAUCUAGCGUUGUGGGGGCUUAGAAAGUUUACACUAUUCUGCUUGGGGAUGUGAGACUAAUUUCCACGCUCCUAGGACCCUUAGUUAUUCUCUUGUUACUUUUGACAUUUGGACCCUGUAUUUUUAAUAAGUUAACAGCCUUUAUUAGAGAAAGAGUUAGUGCAAUGCAGAUUUUAAUGCUUCACCCACAAUAUCAUGCCUCAGAAGACCUUAGGAAAAAUUGAAGAAGGCCCUGAGUUCUAAGAUUAGAACUAGUCACAAGCAGAAGUAGGGAAUGAAAGAAUAAAGAUUUUAAACUAUCCCCCACUGACCCUGCUAUGAGGACAAGUGCACCUCACAGCAAAGAAUAAUAUAACAUGUUUUGGGGAUGUAGCCUGACUAUAGCCAUCACAAACCAUCUGGCCUUGAUAAAGCCUGACUCAACAGUCCUGAGAAAAACGAGAAUUAGGGUCAGCUUGCCCCAGAAGGAGGGUGGCCUAGAGUUGAGCUGAGCCCAAGUUACAAACCAAUGAAAUUGCUUUGUGUGACUGUUGCCAACUACCUAUGUAAUUUUCCCUAUAAAUCCCUUCCCCAAAUUGGGCUCAGGGUCAACUCCUCUGUCUCCUGUGUGAGAUACGUGUCGUCCCCAGAGCUCUGGUUCCACAAAUACACGUCUUGUUUAUUACAUCAAGACUGGUUUCCUGUGAGUUCUUGGGGGUUGUGUCAUCUCGAGAUUUGAGUGGGGGUCUUCCCCACCCUGGUGGUCUUUCACUUCCUCCUCCUCCUCCUCCUCUUCCUCCUCUUGCUCCUCCUCUUCUUUUAGUUUCUUUUACACCUUUUUUGAGGGAGGGGAGAUGUCAUUGUGCCCAUGACAUCAUCAGGUCAAAGGACAACUCGUGGGAGUGGACUCUCUCCUUACACCAUGUGGGUCCCAGGAAUUGAACUCAGGUUGCAAAGCUUGCUGGAUAGUGCCUUUGCCCACUAAGCCAUCUCUCCAGCCAUUCUUUAGGGUGUUUUUUUUUGUUUGUUUGUUUGUUUUUUUUUGUUUGUUUGUUUGUUUGUUUUUGAAACAGGUCCAUAUCUCAAAUGGCCUCAAAUUAUGUGGCUGAGGAUGACCUUGAGUUCUGAUCCUUCUGCCUUUAUCUUCCAAGUGUUGGGAUUACAGGCGUGUGCCACAACCCCAACUUGGACUGAAGUUUUAAAGAGGUCAAAGUUCACUAUUAUCAGAUUUCUGACUGGGAGUGUGAGUUUCCCACUGAAUACUGGGAAGAUGAUCACUUUGCUAUAUAAUUAUCAAACUGCAAAUGACCCAGAAAGCCAGAACCGUAACGCAGACUCACUGCAAGGUCUUCAGGAGUGUGGGGGAAUCUACUAGUCAGUCUGGAAAGGUAAUGCUGUAACCUGAAAGUUUUCAACACCGGCGAGGCCCUGGGGAUAGCUAUGAGAGGAGGGCAGGGUCUGGUGUCGUCACUCUGCCAAGAGAAAGAUGGGGGUGGCAGGAGUGAUGGUUCAUCGUAUGUAACCUCUCCACUGGGAUUUUCACAGUCUGCCUUGUAACCACCACUGCAUCACAAACAAGGCGCUUUCUGACACAUCUGUGUGGUGGUUAUUGCCAGGUCCAGCAGAAUGUUGCACCUGAGCAAUGCUGAUGGCAGUCUGAGUGGCAGCUUGAGUGGCAUGUGACAUCAGAAGGCAUGCCCUACAUGAGUGACUCAGCUAGCUCAACAGGCCGUGUUAUCGAAUUUUGUAGUCACUAGAAGACGUGUCAUUAACCUACUGGUCUGCAGUUUUUCUCAAAUAAAAAACUAAACUUUUAAGCCAUUGAAUCUAACCCAGAGAUGAGUAAAAAAAAACCUAACAGGUCUAGGUGAAAGUCCUUUCCUCACUACCCUGCUGCAGGCGAAGUAAGGAGGAGCUACCAUUACUUCUUAUAAAGUGGCCGUGCUGGUGGAACCGAGUCAGUCGUACUCUUUUUUUUUUUUUUUUUUUUUUUUUUUUUUUUUUUUUUGAUUCUUUUUUUCGGAGCUGGGGACCGAACCCAGGGCCUUGCGCUUCCUAGGCAAGCGCUCUACCACUGAGCUAAAUCCCCAACCCCCAGUCGUACUCUUGAACAUGACAUUUCCACUUGACAAUGAUGUGUUGGUGCUUUCUACCUUGUCUUUAAAUCCAGGUGGCACAUCCAAAAGUAAGGAUAUUAUAUCAGAGUCACAAGGGCUCCAUGAAACACUCCAGAGUAGUUUUCCAGAAGGGACAAGGAGUCUCUGAAACUUCCAAGUAAAGGAUGCCUCUUUUUGCCAGACCAGUGGGCUAGAAUCAUUAAAGACGUUGUACUGACUGGUUUUGUGUUGUCAACUUGACUCAAGGUAGAGUCAUCAGAGAGGAAGGAGCUUCGUUUGAGGAAAUGCCUUCAUGAGAUCCAGCUGUAAGGCAUUUCUCAAUUAGUGAACAAUGGGGGAGGGCCCAACCCAUUGUGGGUGGUGCCAUCCCUGGCCUGGUGAUCCUGGAUUCUAUAAGCAAGCAGGCUGAGCAAGCCGUGAGAAGCAAGCCAGUAAGCAGCACCCCUCCACAGCAUUUACAUGGCUCCUGCUUCUAGGUUCCAGUUCUUCUUGAGUUCCUGUCCUGGCUCCUUCUAAUGAUAGUCUAUGAUCCCCAACUUGCUUUAGGUCAUGGUGUUUUGUUGAAGCAAUAAGAAAAAACUCAAAAGAGUCAUCAAGUUGUUGGGACCCAAAGGUACUAACACUUCUUCUUCUACAUCUCCUCUUUCCAGUCCACCUCUACACAUACAAACAUUCGAAGUCUAGACAUAUCAAAACCAGCAACACAUAUAUAUGGUAUAGUAAUUUGAAUAGUUUUGGCCCCAUGGACUCCUGUAUUUGAACGCUUGGUCCACCGAUGGCACUGUUGGGAGGUGUGGCCUUGGAGGUGUCAUUGUGGGGGUGGGCUUUGAAGUCUCCUAUGCUCAAACUCUGCCCAGUGUGGAAUUCCAGUCUCCUCCUGGCUGCCUUUGGAUCAAAAGGUAGAACUCAGCUCCUUCUCCAGCACCAUGUCUGCCUGCGUGCCACUAUACUUACUGUCUUGAUAAUGGACUAAACCUCUGAAACUGUUAGCUGGUCCCAGUUAAAUGUUUCCUUUGAUUAGAGUUGUCUUGGUCACAGUGUCUCUUCACAGCAAUAAAACCCUAUGACACAUGGAAACUAAAAUCCUACACCCAAUAGGCCUGAAGAGCCCCACGCAACAAUGGCAUAUUGAUUCCCUUUCUUCACAGUAAAUGUCAAUUGGAUGCCAUCAGAUGAAUUCAGGGGCCUACCUCCCAAAGGGAAAGCUAAUGUCUUGAGUGACUAUAAUAAUAAAAUAAUAAUGAUGAUAAUAAUUAUUUUUAAAUCCCCUUCUUCAGAACACUGACCUCAGGUCUCAUUCUUAAUCACCUUUCUCAGAAAAGCUUGGAUCAAAGAAGCAAAUGGGAAGGAAGGGCAAAGGCUUGGAGAGAAAGAACAGCUCUUUGAGGGAAUCUGGGCUUUGCCUUCUUUCAGCUUCAAAUGGCCACCUACCUGAGUGAGCUUCCGGGGUCCACAGAGCUCCCAAAGGUCUGCACUGAACAACGUUCCUUGCCACUAACACUAUUGCUGCCUUGAGGAUUCCUCAGCUGGGCAGCCGCACUACCCUGAGUCCAGGUCUGUGAAGUCUGCUAGCACACUGUCCUACAAUCCGCCUUUCAUGUGCCGUUUCGGGAGCAACACUGUACCAUUUAGGCACCCUGUUUCCUUCCUACUUUUCACCAACACACACAGUCCUUAAUCAUUAACCAACCCACAGGAUAGUGGGGGGAUCUGUAUCUCCCUAACCCUGAUACUUGGACAGCAUUUACUUCAAGAUCUUAGAAAGUUGUCUCAUCUCCAAAUCUGCCUUGUGGCACCAUCACCUUCCUCCUCAAGGUGACCAUCUGUCAACGUCCCAUCCUUACUGCCCAAACUGAGGAGGGCUGAGAAACAGCUGAGAUUUUAUCCUAUUUGCAAGCUAAGGCAUUAUCCUGAUGCUGGCAGAAAAACAUGAGCUCCCAGUGUUGCAGACAAAGGACUUUGUUAUAGCGUUACCAAAGUAUUCAGAUGUUCUGGUUCUGGUUCCCACAACCCAGUUCCUACAGGGCCAUACAAAUAAACAGAUGGUAUCUUUACAAUGAGUUGCAUGCAGCUCAGGGCUCCUCUCCUGUCUUUCAUGAAGGCCUUUGUUCUAUAGGAGAUUACCUUUCAUCCUCCUAAGCUCUGAGCAAACCUGCCCUUUGCUCUGAUGGGAAACACUGGCUGUUUCUCCAUCUUCCCUAUUUAGCUCUAAAAAUGUUAUAGUCUCAGGGCAGUCAGUACCUCUCCCUGUGAGAUGUACAGAAAGACCAGCAGGCAUGGAGAACUCUCUAAGGAAUCUUUAAGAAAGUGGGAAUAACCUCCCCAUUUAUAAUUUACUGACAGACAGACAUGCCAGUCUAUCUCCCAGAACACUUCUCAAUGUCAGCACUCCUUUCUCCUCAUAACCCAACUCAAUUUCCUAUGAGGGCAAACGUAUCUUGUGUGAGGCCAGCUUUUAUGCUGGUCAUCAGCUACACAAUGACAAUCUGACAGCAAAAAAUGAGGAUAAUUACAGAUUUCUGACUGGUUGGUAAGGGAGGCAAUCCAGGUACCUGUCUAAAAAUGAAUGGUUCUCACCUCCUAUCUUUAACUUGUAGGGGGGUUGAGACACCUGCUUAUCAGCAGUUCUUAAUGGGCAAAAAAUGAGCAUUAACUGAACAAAUCCUACGCUAAAUGGUCUUAUUCAUUUUAUAGUCUGAACAUACCCAACUUCUAACUAUUUUAAACCAAAAUAUAUUACCCUUACCACCCUAACUGUGAUGAGAUUAACCUACUUUUGAUAAAUACUAAGUUUACAUAUUACCUGAAACUUUGAGACUGAAAAACACUUAAAAGAAUAUUGGCAAUAUUCAGGGCCCAAAAAACACCUUUAAAAAUUAACAAAACUUGAGGCUGGAGAUAUGGCUCAGAAGUUAAUAGCACUGCUCUUCCAGAGGACCUGGGUUCAAUUCCCAGCAACCACACAGCAAUUGUCUGUAACUCCAAGAUCUGACACCUUCACGCACAUACCUUCAGGCAAAACAAAGCACAUUAAAUAGAUUGAUAAAUAAAUAAAUAAAUAAAUAAAUAAAUAAAUAAAUAUUUAAUUACCAAAACUUGCCAAGCAUGGUGUGGCACACGCCUUUAAUCUUAGCACUUGAGAGGCAGAGGCAGGUGGAUCUCUGAGUUCAAGCCAGCCUGGUCUACAAAGAGAGUUCCAGGACAGCCAGGUCUGUUACAUGAGAAACCCUAUCUCAAAAAAACAGGAAAAAAAAAAAAAAAAAAAAAAGCACAACUUAUGCUAUAACUUUUAUGUUCAGAGACAUGUUAAAAUAUAGUUACUGCAUACCCAGUCCCCAGUAACCAACCACAAAUAACUACUUGAACAAUAUUUAACCAUAAGAGACUGCUACAUUUUUUCUUUGAAUUUAAUGAGUUUACAUCAAAAAAAAUUAAGUAGUCAUUUUACAUCUAAGGAAUAAAAACCAUUUUAAAAAAAUACAAAGAGUGAAAGGAUUUUUAAGCAAGUUUACAUUUCUUUUGGCUAUGGUUCUGAACAAUUCAUCUCAUGAUAUCUUAUCACAAUGUGCAAAUGCAUUUCACAGCACCUGUGACAAUCAUCAAGUUAACUCUUAAGCGUAUCCACUGUCAGUAUCUCCUCAGAGGAAACCGAUCUGCCUUCUAUGAAAAGCUCCAUGGUACAUCUCAGCAUCGCACAAGGCCACCAGUCACCCGCCC